rnacentral:rRNA from 1 species
UUUUUGUAAUUAAUAUAAAGUCUAAUCUGCCCACUGAUAAUUUAUUAAAGGGCUGCAGUAUUUUGACUGUACAAAGGUAGCAUAAUCAUUUGUCUCUUAAUUGGUGACUUGUAUGAAGGAUUGAAUGAAAUAUAAACUGUCUCAUUAUAAUAAGUAAAAUUUAAUUUUUUAGUAAAAAAGCUAAAAUAAUUUUAAAAGACGAGAAGACCCUAUAGAGUUUAAUAAUUUUUUUUAUAUAAAUAAAAUGUAAAAAUUUAAAUUUAAAUUAAAAUAAUUAUUUUGUUGGGGUGAUAGAAAAAUUAAAUUAACUUUUUUUAAAAAUAAACAUAAAUAAGUGAUUAAAUGAUCCAUUAUUAAUGAUUAUAAGAAAAAAUUACCUUAGGGAUAACAGCGUAAUUUUUUUUUUUAGGCCAAAUAAAAAAAAGAGUUUGCGACCUCGAUGUUGGAUUAAGAUAAAAUUUGAAUGUAAAAGUUUAAAGUUUUGAUCUGUUCGACCAUUAAAA